CGUAGGUGGCUAAGCGUUGUCCGGAAUUAUUGGGCGUAAAGCGCGCGCAGGCGGUUCCUUAAGUCUGAUGUGAAAGCCCCCGGCUCAACCGGGGAAGGUCAUUGGAAACUGGGGAACUUGAGUGCAGAAGAGAAGAGCGGAAUUCCACGUGUAGCGGUGAAAUGCGUAGAGAUGUGGAGGAACACCAGUGGCGAAGGCGGCUCUUUGGUCUGUAACUGACGCUGAGGCGCGAAAGCGUGGGGAGCAAACAGGAUUAGAUACCCUGGUAGUCCACGCCGUAAACGAUGAGUGCUAAGUGUUAGAGGGUUUCCGCCCUUUAGUGCUGCAGCUAACGCAUUAAGCACUCCGCCUGGGGAGUACGGCCGCAAGGCUG
rnacentral:rRNA from 1 species